ensembl:snoRNA SNORD26 Small nucleolar RNA SNORD26
CUACAGGGAUGAUUUAAAGUUGAACUCUCUCUUUCUGAUUGUGUAGUGGAGAAGACAGACAAAAAUCUGAGUAGC